rnacentral:tRNA from 1 species
UCCCAUAUGGUCUAGUUGUUAGGAUUUGGCGCUCUCACCGCCAAGGCCCUGGUUCAAUUCCCAGUGUGGGAA